GAGUGGGAUGUGUGUUCCAAGAAGAGCAAUUGCCCUGACUGGAAACCCAGGAGUCAGUGAGAAUGUGGAACAGAGUGAAACAAAAAGAAAAAACCUGGGGGAUUUAGCUCAGUGAGACGCCGCCUGCCUCACAAGCGCAAGGUCUUGAGUUUGAUUCCUGGUACCAGAAAACAACAACAACAACAACAAAGAUCUAAAAAGAAAAACCCUCCUCAGCUGACACUCCUGUCGGUUUCGACAGCCCCCCCCCCAUUCUAUUAUUAAUCGCACUCUUCUCAGUCGGGCUAAGACUGAACUCAGGCUCUUCUAGGUGUUGAAAUGCUGAGGGGAAUCAUAAAAAGAGCUUGGCGUUCUACAGAAUUUCUGCAGCAACCCACCCCUCC
rnacentral:lncRNA from 1 species